UACGUAGGGUGCGAGCGUUUGUCCGGAAUUAUUGGGCGUAAAGGGCUCGUAGGCGGUUUGUCGCGUCGGGAGUGAAAUCCACUGGCUUAACUGGUGGCUUGCUUUCGAUACGGGCAGACUGGAGGUAUGCAGGGGAGACUGGAAUUCCUGGUGUAGCGGUGAAAUGCGCAGAUAUCAGGAGGAACACCGAUGGCGAAGGCAGGUCUCUGGGCAUUAACUGACGCUGAGGAGCGAAAGCAUGGGGAGCGAACAGG
rnacentral:rRNA from 1 species